AACCCAUAUCAAUAGGUCAACGGCGUAAAACGUGUUAAAGAUAAUAAAACACUAAAGUCAAAAUUUAACCAGGCUGUAAAAAGCUACUGUUAAUAUAAGACAAACCACGAAAGUGACUUUACUACUUCUGAUUACACGAUAGCUGAGACCCAAACUGGGAUUAGAUACCCCACUAUGCUCAGCCUUAAACAUAAAUAAUUCAUUCAACAAAAUUAUCUGCCAGAGAACUACUAGCAACAGCCUAAAACUCAAAGGACUUGGCGGUGCUUUACAUCCCUCUAGAGGAGCCUGUUCUAUAAUCGAUAAACCCCGAUAAACCUUACCACUUCUAGCUAAAU
rnacentral:rRNA from 1 species